UUGGCAUGACACGAGUUAUGUUCUUCUCAUAUAUUUUAUGAUAGUAUGAUACUAAACCCCUAACGGCAUGGAUUAUGCCUGAUAUUCAUAUGAUGAAGACAUAAUCUUUCAAUCAGUUUAAUUGAGGUCUGGAGCUGGCAUGUCAGUUAACUGCUAGUAGUCUGUUGUUAUUUAUGUAUUAUUGUUAUUUUAUUUAUUUUCUU
rnacentral:lncRNA from 1 species